rnacentral:rRNA from 1 species
AUUGAACGCUGGCGGCAUGCCUUACACAUGCAAGUCGAACGGCAGCGGACCUUCGGGUGCCGGCGAGUGGCGAACGGGUGAGUAAUAUAUCGGAACGUACCUUUCAGUGGGGGAUAACGUAGCGAAAGUUACGCUAAUACCGCAUAUUCUGUGAGCAGGAAAGCAGGGGGAUCGCAAGACCUUGCGCUGAUUGAGCGGCCGAUAUCAGAUUAGCUAGUUGGUGAGGUAAAGGCUCACCAAGGCGACGAUCUGUAGCGGGUCUGAGAGGAUGAUCCGCCACACUGGAACUGAGACACGGUCCAGACUCCUACGGGAGGCAGCAGUGGGGAAUAUUGGACAAUGGGCGCAAGCCUGAUCCAGCAAUGCCGCGUGUGUGAAGAAGGCCUGCGGGUUGUAAAGCACUUUUGUUCGGGAAGAAAUCAUGUCGGUUAAUACCCGAUGUGGAUGACGGUACCGAAAGAAUAAGCACCGGCUAACUUCG